AUUUAGAAGCUCAUUUAAAUACAGGAUCAGUUCAUUUGCAUAUUGCUCAGAUGCUUCAGUGCUCUGAGAGUGUUUAUAGUGCUGUGAGUUUAACACUUCAUCACUGACACACACAACAAUCUUCAUCAACAUGACCUUCAUCAUCAUCUUCAUCUGGACUCUCACAGCGUUUGCUCAAGAGAGUAGAGGACAGAUCAGCGUCACUCAGAGUCCCUCAAUGACACCAGCUCAACCAAGAGAAACAGUGACGAUCAGCUGCAAAACCAGCACUGAUGUGUAUGAUGGUGAUCGUUUAUCCUGGUACUUACAGAAACCCGGAGAAGCUCCUAAACUCCUGAUUUAUUGGACUGACAGCCUUGAGUCAGGAACUCCAUCUAGAUUCAGUGGCAGUGGAUCUAACAGUGAUUUCACUCUGACCAUCAGUGGAGUCCAGACUGAAGAUGCUGGACAUUAUUACUGUCAGAGUGUACACUACAUCAGUAGUAGCUGGGUGUUCACACAGUGAUAAAGCGUGGUACAAAAACCUGUGUCAGUCAGAGUCACAGUGACUGAACUGAUGCUGCAGCUGCUCAAACACUAUCACUCACUACUGACACACAGAGACCAAACACACAACUACACAUGAGCUCACAACUGAGUCAGGAGUCACAUCAGCUCUAUUAGACUGGGAUCUGUCCUGUGACAGACGGGUUUGAGAUAAACUGAUAUCAAAGCAAACAAUUAUAUUGCAAUAUCUUGUUUUGGUUUUGUACAUUACAUUUUGCACAUUAAACUAUAAAGCAUUAAACUAGCAUUAACUUAGCUUCUUCAUUUCAAGCUGAUGAUGAAUUUCUUACUCAUAACUCAUUUCUGAUGAGCAGAAGUGAAACUGUUCCAGUUCAGAGCGUUUAACCGAUCAAACAGAGAAACUGUGAGUUUGAGCUGAAAUCAGAUUUGCAUUGACAGCUUUAGUGAUUCUGAUGAUCUCAGAAUAGAGCAGCUCCGUCUCCAGAGACCAUGUUCAA